rnacentral:rRNA from 1 species
CCUACGGGAGGCAGCAGUGAGGAAUAUUGGUCAAUGGGCGCGAGCCUGAACCAGCCAAGUAGCGUGAAGGAUGACUGCCCUACGGGUUGUAAACCUCUUUUAUAAAGGAAUAAAGUGAGGCACGUGUGCCUUUUUGUAUGUACUUUAUGAAUAAGGAUCGGCUAACUCCGUGCCAGCAGCCGCGGUAAUACGGAGGACCCGAGCGUUAUCCGGAUUCAUUGGGUUUAAAGGGAGCGUAGAUGGGUUGUUAAGUCAGUUGUGAAAUUUUGCGGCUCAACCGUAGAAUUGCAAUUGAUACUGGCAGUCUUGAGUACAGAUGAGGUAGGCGGAAUUCGUGGUGUAGCGGUGAAAUGCUUAGAUAUCACGAAGAACUCCGAUUGCGAAGGCAGCUUGCUAAGCUGCCACUAACAUUGAUGCUCGAAGGUGUGGGUAUCAAACAGGAUUAGAUACCCGGGUAGUC